GUGUCAGACGGCCCGGAUCCCGGUUACCGGCCCCUCGCUCGCUGCUCGCCAGCCCAGACUCGGCCCUGGCAGUGGCGGCUGGCGAUUCGGACCGAUCCGACCUGGGCGGAGGUGGCCCGCGCCCCGCGGCAUGAGCCGGUGACCAAGCUCGGGGCCGAGCGGGAGGCAGCCGUGGCCGAGUGUCUUUAAUGUUAUAGAGCUACUCAGAGUUGCUGUUUCUCCUUGAGAUGCUUUUGGUGUUGGGGAACCACUGAUUCAAGUAUACACAUAGACCUUGAGAGCUUCUUGGGAAGUUCUAACAUGGGCCAGCGGAGGGCAGCUCCUUGCCUGCAUUUGUCCCAAAACUUCCUGUCUUCAAACUCCAGGAGGGAUAUGCAGAAUGGCAAGGAAGCCAUACCAUAGGGAGUGUGAGGAAGAGGCUGUCUGUGUCAUUAUGUGUGCGUCGGUCAAGUAUAAUAUCCGGGGUCCUGCCCUCAUCCCAAGAAUGAAGACCAAGCACCGAAUCUACUAUAUCACCCUCUUCUCCAUUGUCCUCCUGGGCCUCAUUGCCACUGGCAUGUUUCAGUUUUGGCCCCAUUCU
rnacentral:lncRNA from 1 species